rnacentral:piRNA from 1 species
UGCAGUAGAAAGUGCUAACUGAACGGG